rnacentral:rRNA from 1 species
UCGUCGAAAGGCGAAUUAAUACCGCAUACGAUCAGGGACGACAUCGUUCCAACAUCAAAGCCGGGGCAACCUGGCGCUUCUUGAUGACCCCGCGGCCUAUCAGCUAGUUGGUGAGGUAACGGCCCACCAAGGCGAUGACGGGUAGCUGGUCUGAGAGGACGACCAGUCACACUGGAACUGAGACACGGUCCAGACACCUACGGGUGGCAGCAGUCGAGAAUUUUUCUCAAUGGGGGAAACCCUGAAGGAGCGACGCCGCGUGGAGGAUGAAGGCUUUCGGGUUGUAAACUCCUGUCAUUUGAGAACAAUGCCCCGGCAUUAACUGUGUCGGGGUUGAUAGUAUCAGAAGAGGAAGGGACGGC